rnacentral:misc_RNA from 1 species
CUAUACUCUCCCGUCCCAUGAAAAACGAAUCUAGGACCGUAUGUGACAUAUUCUAGUACUAUGAAUCUGAACAUAUGUAUGUCUAGAUUCGUAGUAUUAAAAUGUGUCACAUCCGGUACUAGGUUAUUUUUUUAUGGGACGGAGGGAGUA